rnacentral:rRNA from 1 species
AUACGUAGGUGCCAAGCGUUAUCCGGAUUUACUGGGCGUAAAGGGCGUGUAGGCGGUCUUGCAAGUCAGAAGUGAAAUUCCUGUGCUCAACUCGGGCGCUGCUUCUGAAACUGCAGGACUUGAGUGCUGGAGGGGAUAGCGGAAUUCCUAGUGGAGCGGUAAAAUGCGCAGAUAUUAGGAACAACACCGUUGACGAAGGCGGCGAGCUUGACAGUAACUGACGCAGAGGCGCGAAAGCGUGGGAAGCAAACAGGAUUAGAUGCCCUGGUAGACCACGCCGGAAACGAUGAGUGCUAGGUGUUGAGGGUCAAACCUCGGUGCCGCAGCUAACGCAUUAAGCACUCCGCCUGGGGAGUACGUACGCAAGUAUGAAACUCAAAUGUAUUGGCGGGG